rnacentral:rRNA from 1 species
UGGUCAAGUUAUUAAGGGUGCAGGGCGGAUGCCUUGGCACUAGGAGCCGAUGAAGGACGUGAUAAGCUGCGAUAAGCUUCGGGGAGUUGCACGUAAACUUUGAUCCGAAGAUUUCCGAAUGAGGAAACUCACUUAGAGUAAUGUCUAAGUAUCAUUAAGUGAAUACAUAGCUUAAUGAGGGGAACUCAGGGAACUGAAACAUCUAAGUACCUGAAGGAAGAGAAAGAAAUUCGAUUCCGUAAGUAGCGGCGAGCGAACGCGGAUUAGCCCAAACCAAUAAAGUUUUCUUUAUUG